rnacentral:rRNA from 1 species
CAGUAGCCGCGGUAAAACGGAGGGGGCUAGCGUUGUUCGGAAUUACUGGGCGUAAAGCGCACGUAGGCGGCUUUGUAAGUUAGAGGUGAAAGCCCGGAGCUCAACUCCGGAAUUGCCUUUAAGACUGCAGAGCUAGCAGGUGAGAGAGGUGAGUGGAAUUCCGAGUGUAGAGGUGAAAUUCGUAGAUAUCGGAAGGAACACCUGUGGCGAAAGCGGCUCACUGGACCAUUUCUGACGCUGAUGCACGAAAGCUAGGGGAGCAAACAGGAUUAGAUACCCGAGUAGUCCCUGUCUCUUAUAA